GGUGGCUCAAUGGUAGAGCACGUGCCUUGCAAUGCAUGAGGCCCUGGGUUCAAUUCCUCAGCACCA
rnacentral:tRNA from 1 species